GAUGAACGCUGGCGGCGUGCUUAACACAUGCAAGUCGAGCGAGAGAGUUCUUCGGAACAAUCUAGCGGCGGACGGGUGAGUAACACGUGGGCAACCUGCCUCAUAGAGGGGAAUAGCCUUCCGAAAGGAAGAUUAAUACCGCAUAACAUCGUUGAAGGGCAUCCUUCGAUGAUCAAAGGAGUAAUCCGCUAUGAGAUGGGCCCGCGGCGCAUUAGCUAGUUGGUGAGGUAACGGCUCACCAAGGCGACGAUGCGUAGCCGACCUGAGAGGGUGAUCGGCCACAUUGGGACUGAGACACGGCCCAGACUCCUACGGGAGGCAGCAGUGGGGAAUAUUGCACAAUGGGGGAAACCCUGAUGCAGCAACGCCGCGUGAGUGAUGACGGCCUUCGGGUUGUAAAGCUCUGUCUUUGGGGACGAUAAUGACGGUACCCAAGGAGGAAGUCACGGCUAACUACGUGCCAGCAGCCGCCGUAACAC
rnacentral:rRNA from 1 species